rnacentral:rRNA from 1 species
GACGAACGCUGGCGGCGUGCUUAACACAUGCAAGUCGUACGGUAAGGCCCUUUCGGGGGUACACGAGUGGCGAACGGGUGAGUAACACGUCAGUAACCUGCCCACAACUUUGGGAUAACGCUAGGAAACUGGUGCUAAUACUGGAUAUGUGCUCCUGCUGCAUGGUGGGGGUUGGAAAGCUCCGGCGGUUGUGGAUGGACUCGCGGCCUAUCAGCUUGUUGGUGGGGUAGUGGCCUACCAAGGCGGCGACGGGUAGCCGGCCUGAGAGGGUGACCGGCCACAUUGGGACUGAGAUACGGCCCAGACUCCUACGGGAGGCAGCAGUGGGGAAUAUUGCACAAUGGGCGCAAGCCUGAUGCAGCAACGCCGCGUGCGGGAUGACGGCCUUCGGGUUGUAAACCGCUUUCAGCAGGGACGAAGCUUUUUGUGACGGUACCUGCAGAAGAAGCACCGGCUAACUACGUG